AUACGUAGGGGGCGAGCGUUGUCCGGAAUGAUUGGGCGUAAAGGGCGCGUAGGCGGGACUGCAAGUCAGAUGUGAAAUCUGGGGGCUCAACCCCCAAACUGCAUUUGAAACUGUGGUUCUUGAGUGAUGGAGAGGCAAGUGGAAUUCCUAGUGUAGCGGUGAAAUGCGUAGAUAUUAGGAGGAACACCAGUGGCGAAGGCGCGUUGCGGGACAUUAACUGACGCUGAGGCGCGAAAGCGGGGGGAGCAAACAGGAUUAGAUACCCUGGUAAUCCACGCCGUAAACGAUGAAUACUAGGUGUGGGGGGACUGACCCCCUCCGUGCCGGAGUUAACACAAUAAGUAUUCCACCUGGGGAGUACGGCCGCAAGGUUGAAACUCAAAUGAAUUGACGGGG
rnacentral:rRNA from 1 species